rnacentral:tRNA from 1 species
GGGCCCGUGGUCUAGCGGUUAUGACGACUCGCUUACACCGAGUCGAUCGUGGGUUCGAUUCCCACCGGGCCCA